rnacentral:lncRNA from 10 species
AAUCAACACUCCACUCAGACAAUGCCCAGACCUCCAGAAACCAUGUGUCAAGCUCGGAUUGCCUUAGACAGGUGCAAUUUAAGAACAGCUUUCAUCCUCUUUUCUCUCAUAUUGUCACACUAUGUGUUCUGACUUCUGGCUCCUUUCCUCACAAGAAGCUCACCCAGCUGGAACUCUUAUGGGACCUUGGCACCAGAGACCACAAAUUCCUCUUUGAAGUUUUCUAACAGCAACAAUGGUAUUUCUGACUUGGCUUUCUUGUAUUUCUCUCACGUUAACAAAAUUGGUUCAGCAUCUACCAUGGGCUACAUGCUGAGCUACAGAGUUUCGCUCUGUCGCCCAGGCUGGAGUGCAGUGGCGCGCGAUCUCGGUUCACUGCAAGCUCCACCUCCCGGGUUCACGCCAUUCUCCUGCCUCAGCCUCCUGAGUAGCUGGGACUACAGGCGCCCGCCACCACACCCAGGAAUCCAACUUGCUGUUUGCUAUCACAUGUGCUAUACAUGCUGUUGAUGAAACUGCUAAAGGGGCUGAAUGUGACUGACGUCUUUGGAAGGAUGAGACUUAGCGUGCCUGUACAGUUGUGUCCAAAUGCUGUCCUCAUCUCCCAAUGAAAAGGUAUUGUAAAUAAAGAGAAAGAUCAGAGGCUUAUUUUAAACACUAAAUAUGAGCUAGGAGCUGUCCUAGACACUAUGUAAAAGUUUUAUUUAGUUCUCACUGUAAUGUUGGCCUUAUGUUAGCAUCCCAUUUUUCAGACUGAGGAAAUUAUGGCUCAGAGAGGUUAAGAGACUUAUUGAAGGUCACACAGCUCCACAAACUUUGGUGUAGAUUGAACGUGUACAUGGGUCUAUGUGACUUUGAAUCUUGCAUUCUUUACAUUAUUGGAAUAUUUCACAGAAGGAAAAUGACAUAUUAACAUGGCAAUAAGAUUUCUGGUUCCAGUCUGGUUACUGGUCUUCCAAGAGUGUUAUAGGAUGUAUAGCCUGAGCUCUGAAGCUUUGUUCUGAAGCAUGCUAUCAAUAUGAACAAAUUGGUAUGGAAGGAAGCCACAAAUUAUAUACUAAAAUCUAGUUCAUCAGAGGAAAAUAUAGUUAAAUACAUUUACAUUCCCAGAACUGUUAAUAUUGAAGAAUAAAACACACAGUGGGAAAGAGACGAAGAGAAAAUACGCCUGUUUUUAUGACUUGUUGAUAUCUACAGGGUUUUUCCUUAAGCCUCACAACAAUUUACAGCAUUGCCAGCAGCAUUCAGUACAUUCAGAACAGGAUAAUUUCACCCGCAGCUGAACUAGGGCCAUGCCUGGGACAGACAGAGAAUGGCCUUCCAGCAGACAUGCCAAGAAGCAAGCCAGGGUCAGUGAGUGAAGAGGAGGGCAGGCCCAUUUGAAGCAACACAGUUUAUAUACAUGAAAAGAAAGAAGGAGAGAAGGAAGAAAGGAGGGCGGAAGGAAAGGAAGAAGGGAGAGAAGAAGAGAAGAAAGAAGCAGAGAAAGGAAGAGAAAAGAAAUUACGGCCAGUGCGGUGGCUCACGCCUGUAAUCCUAGCACUUUGGGAGGCCUAAGCGGGCUGAUCACCUGAGGUCAGGAGUUCGUAAGCCAGCCUGGCCAACAUGGUGAAACCCUAUCUCUACUAAAAAUACAAAAAUCAGCAGGGCAUGGUGGUGCGUGCCUGUAAUCCCAGCUACCUGGGAGGCUGAGGUAGGAGAAUCGCUGGAACCCGAGAGGCGGAGGCUGCAGUGAGUUGAGAUCAUGUCACUGCACUCCAGGCUGGGCAACAGAGUGAGACUCUGUCUCAGAAAAAAAAAAAAAGAAAGAAAGAAAGAAAGAAAGUUACCAUUAGUUUUUUGUUGUAUUUGCAAGCAAAGACAAAAGCACCAAGGUACUUGUUUCCUUCUGUAAUUAGAGUUUCAAAUAGACUAAAAGUUUCUGCUCUUAGGUGGGUCUAGAGACUCUCCAGUACCUCAGGACCUCAGGACACAUGGGGUCUCUUGGUUGUUUUCUUUUCAUUGUUGUUGUUUAUUUUAUUUUUGUUUUUAUUUUUUAACUUUAAAACAAUUUUUUGUAGAUGAAUAUGCUUACAUAUGUUUGGGGGUUUUUUUGAGACAGGGUCUUGCUCUGUUGCCCAGGCUGGAGAGCGGUGGUUUAACCACAGCUCACUGCAGCCUCGACCUCCCAAGGUAGGGACUGCAGGUGUGUACACUGGGGUGCACCACCACACCCAGCUAAUUUUUAAAUUUUUUUUUGUAGAUAUUGUCUCACUCUGUUGGCCAGACUGGUCUUGAAAUCCUGGGCUCGAGCAAUUCUCCUGCCUCGGCCUCGUAACGCGUUAGGAUUACAAGCGUGAACACCGCACCUGGCCAGCAUGUGGUCUCUUAACCAGAGGAGGCCUCUUCUGAACUAGGUAGAGGUCCUGAGAAUUGAUUCUGAGAGUAAAAGGCUCUUUGUUCUCCUCAGAGUAGAUUAGAAUCCCUAAUGAUAGAGCAUCUAUUAUUCCUCUAGUGGUCCAUGCCCAACAGAUUCAUCCAAGAAUAGAUGAAGAUCUUUGUAAUGUUGUGCAAGUAAUCUAAUCACCCCACAGAAGAGCUGUGACUUAAAUUAUCCCAGAGUCGGCCCACCUGUUUUCAUAAAGAUCAAUGUAACUUGUAAAUUUCUUCAGUUCUCCUCACCUAUCAUCAUUUGACUAACAAAACCCAGAAAACUAGGCUAGUUAUGGUGGCCUAUGCAUAUAAUCCCAACUCUUUGAGAGGCCAGGGUGGGUGGAUUGCUUGAGUCCAGGAAUUCGAGACCAGCCUGGGCAACAAAGGGAGACCCUGCCUAUAUCCCAGCUAUGCAGGAGGCGAGGCCAGAGGAUUGCCUGAGCCUCAGAGGUUGAGGCUGUAGUGAGCCAUGAUUGCCCCACUACACUCCAGCCUGGAUGACAGAGUGAGACCCUGCCUUAAAAAUAAUAAUAAUAGUAAUAAUAUUUCAUAAAGAUACAGGAAACUAGAUUAUAAUUGACAUUUUCAAAGUGAAAUACUGUCUAGAAUGGUGCUUGGCCAACAGUAAGCUUUUUGUAAGUGGAAGUCAUUACUACUACUAUUUCUUUCAUUAUUAUUACCAUUACUACUUUUUUUUACAAAAAAAAAACCCUGGACAACACACUGAAACCAUUACUACUUCUACUACUAUAACUUAGGUUGCACCUGAUAGAGCCAGCAAUUUUUCCAAGGUAUGACAAUGGCCAUAUGUUUAAUGAUAUAAUUCUAUGGCUCAGUGUAUCUCAGCCUUUUUAAACCCUGCUCUUCUUUUGACAAUUGUAAAAAUCUUAAACUGACCUCCAGUUGAAAUCCUCUGUCAAGAAGAUAUUGUCGGCCAGGGGCGGUGGCUCACACCUGUAAUCCCAGCACUUUUGGAGGCCGAGGUGGGAGGAUCACUUGAGGUUAGGAGUUCAAGACCAGCCUGGCCAACAUAGUGAAACCCCAUCUCUACUAAAAAUACAAAAAUUAGGCAGGCAUGGUGGUGUGUGCCUGUAAUCCCAGCUACUCAGGAGGCUGAGGUAGGAGAAUUGCUUGAACCUGGCAGGGCAGAGGUUGCAGCAAGCCGAGAUCACGCCACUGCUCUCCAGCCUGGGUGAGACUGUCUCAAAAAAAAAAAAAAAAAAGAAAGAAAGUAAGAAAAAGAAGAAAUCCCAAUCUCUUCUUUUAUGUGGAUUCUUCCUCACUUGAAUAAUACUUUUCUUCCCCAGUAUUCUCCAUAUUAUCCCAGAGUCAGCCCCUCUGUUUUUGUAAAGAUCUACGUAACCUCCUCUAAGUUUCCCAGUUCUCCUCACCUAUCAUAUCAUUUGGCUCAACAAAGGGCAGGAAGCUAGAUUCUAAUUGAUAUUUUGAGGCCGGGAGCAGUGGCUCAUGCCUGUAAUCACAGCACUUUGGGAGGCUGAGGCGGGCAGAUCACUGGAGGUCAGGAGUUCGAGACCAGCCUGGCCAAUAUGGUGAAACCUCGUCUCUACUAAAAAUACAAAAAAUUAGCCAGGCUUGGUGGCUUGUACCUGUAAUCCCAGCUACUCAGGAGGCUGAGGCAGGAGAAUAGCUUAAACCUGGGAGGAAGAGGUUGCAGUGAGCCGAGAUUGCUCAAUUGCACCCCAGCCUGGGUGACAGAGCAAAACUCCAUCUC